UACGAAGGGGGCUAGCGUUGUUCGGAAUUACUGGGCGUAAAGCGCGCGCAGGCGGUUUUCCAAGUCAGUGGUGAAAGCCCGGAGCUCAACUCCGGAAAUGCCAUUGAAACUGCAAAACUUGAGUACGAGAGAGGUGAGUGGAAUUCCCAGUGUAGAGGUGAAAUUCGUAGAUAUUGGGAAGAACACCGGUGGCGAAGGCGGCUCACUGGCUCGUAACUGACGCCCAGGCGCGAUAGCGUGGGGAUCAAACAGG
rnacentral:rRNA from 1 species